GUUAGGACUCUAGCUUGGAGAGUCCUAAUUGAGAGGGACAUUCAUGUAAAACUGUUAGGACUCUAGCUAGGAGAGUCCUAAUUGAGAGGGACAUUCUGUUAGGACUCUAGCUAGGAGAGUCCUAAUUGAGAGGGGCAUUCAUGUCGGAGGUUUUUUCUUAGAGAAGAAUUAGGAGUUGUAAGGGAAAAGGAGUCUUGAGUAGGAGUCUUAUUAGGAGUUGGUUAGAAGUAAGAGUCUUAAGUAAGAGUCCUAUUAGGAGUUAGGGUUUAGAAGCCCUAUAAAUAGCCAUGUAUUCCUUCUCCUUUCUUAAGCAAUAGAUGAAUCUUUUCUGCAGCCUUUGAGCAGCAACUUGGAGGGAGGAACCCCUAUAGAGUUCCAAGGAGGCCGAUCUCCUAAAGAGAUCAACCCCAAGUUUAGAAUGUGCAAGGGUUCUAUCACCAUACAAUGGUUUGACUGGUUUGAACACACUUAUGGAGCCCUUUCAUGGCGACAAUUCAAAGAAGGACUACUGAUCCGCUUCGGACCAACUUAUUACGAGAACAUUGACGGACAACUAGCAAAGAUCUGACAAACCUCCACCAUUCAGGAGUACCAAACCAGGUUUGAAAGAUUAUCUAAUCAAACUCGUGAUUGGUCUGAAAAACAACUAUUNNNN
rnacentral:lncRNA from 1 species